AACGCACAUUGCGCCCGCCAGGACUCUGGCGGGCAUGCCUGUCCGAGCGUCGUUCCAACCCUCGAGCCCCCCCCGGGGGCCCGGUGUUGGGGGGCGCGGCCCGCCGCGGCCGCCCCCCCGAAACGCAGUGGCGACCCCGCCGCGCCCUCCCCUGCGCAGUACCACAGCGCCUCGCAGGCGGAGCGCGGAGGCGGUCCCGCCGUAAAACGCCCCCAGACGCAGAGUCGACCUCGGAUCAGGUAGGGCUACCCGCUGAACUUAA
rnacentral:misc_RNA from 1 species